CCCUAGGAUGCAGCUGGCUGCUACAAGACUCUGAAGGUAACAAGCGUUUCGUCCGCUGCUCUCUGACCUUUCGAUGAAGGACACCACCCACCUCCAAAGCCAGGAAAUGGUUCCUUCCUGAAGACCAAACUCUGGAGCCAGUCUGCUCAGCCCUCGUUAUUUCAUGUUUUAAGCAGAAACUGAGUCGCUGGUUAUGUGGAUGAGGCCUUCCUGGGCUCUGAUGCCAACCUCUUUGCCUGUUUCUCCCCACUGAAAUGAAAGUUUGGGCCUCCCCAUGAAAUAAGGAGAAUGAGCAGCUGAGAUGCCUGCUGAGACAUAAGGAAUGUGGAAUGGGCAGUGACAGAAGAAACUAGAAGAAAUCCAAGAUGGCUGAUUAGGGUCUAGCCACACCAACUUCAGGUGCUCUGGAAUAUGAAAGGAACAAAAGAAAGACUACAUUUCCAGGGGUCUGACUAUGGAAGUUUUCAGCAAGGAAGUGAAAAAAAAAAAAAAAAAAAACACCAAAACAAUAACAAAGACUGGCACAAGAAGAGAGAAGACAGAGACACCAAUGCAGCCAGCCACAUGGCACAACCAGCUGCCAUGUUAAGGUUUGGCCAAUGAAACAGUGGAAGCAAAGAUGAUGCAAGGACAUCUAGGGAGAUUCAGAACCACAUAUGUAAGACCAUCAUCUUUUGGCUGUAUAGUUCCACCAUAAAGGGUCUGAGAGCUUGUGUGGAUUCAGAAAAUGUCAUAAAUGCAUCGAAGGCAGAGUUUUCAUUAUAGUUCCCAUAGGUUAAAAGAAUGGUAUUCUGACCUCUGAACAUCUUAGAUAUAAACUUUCACAUGAGGUCAAAUGAUCAAAAUUUAUUAUCAACUGCUGGUAAGUGUUAGCAAUAGGCUUGAGAAUAGAGUACAAGGGAUAAGAGGAUGAGAGAGAAAGUUGGGCUUUACAUAUUUUAAAAGGAAAUGUGCUGUUUUACAAAAAAUUCUAGAAUGUCCAUUAAUACAAUGCAAAUGAUUACUACCCUAUUAUUUUAGAACUUUUUACAUCAUUUCAUUUAAUUUCUCCAGGAAUCAUAUGUUGUGUGGACUAAUAUUCCCAUGUUAUAGAUAGAUGAAAUCACACUAAGUUAGAAAAGCUAAGCGGUAAGAGGAAAGGUGCAUAGAAUAUAAAUAGCAAACAGGUGUAUUAAACAAAGGGCUGGCUGACUCUUAAAAACUAGGUUUCAUAUAUUGCUCAGGGUUAGCAAUUGCAUUACUUCUUAUAGAUUCUGUGCUAGAAUCACAAAACUGGACCUUGGGUUAUGUUCUCAUUUGUCUAACUCCUUGAUUUGUAAAUUGCUAACUCUCUUCAUAUCUGAGUUUCCUUGCCUGUGGAAUGGAGAUAAUGGUAUUUAUUCUGGAUGUUCAUUGUUAGAAAUAUGUAACAAUGUAUGAAGUGAUUAGCCCAGGGCUUUGGAAACUGAUAAGAAUUCAAACUAUGUGGGUCAGUGCUGUGGCUUAGUGGUUAAGCCACCACUUGCAAUGGCAACAUCCCAUAUGGGUGCCAGUUCAUAUCCCGGAUGAUCCACUUUGAACCUAACUCCCUGCUACUGGCCUGGGAAAAGCAGGGGAAGAUGGCCUGAGUGUUUUGGCCCCUGCUACCCAUGUGGGAGACCCCAGAUGAACCUCCUGGCUCCUGCUUCAGCCUGGGGCUGGCCGAGCCAUUGUGGCCCUCUGGGGAGUGAACCAUGGCUGGAAGACUCGCUCGCUCUUUCCCUCUCUUUCUCUCUCUGUGUGUGUAACUCUUAACUUUUAAAAUAUAUAAAUAAAUCUUAUUUAAAAAGAAUACA
ensembl:lncRNA